GAAGGAUGUGAGAUUAAUAGUGGAAUUACACACGGGCAUUGGUUUGGCAGGAAUGCAAGGUGUGUGAUGAAACAGUUAUGUCGAUAGCUGAUGGACUUCCAAGGAGAGCCAAUAGUGGAGGUUAGUUUGGCAGGAAUGCAAGGUGUGUGAUGAAACAGUUAUGUCGAUAGCUGAUAAACUUCUAAGGAGAGCCAAUGGUGGAGGUUGCACCAUAAUAAUAAGCAAGGUGUUUUUCGACAUGAGCCGAAGUGGAAAUUCUUAGAAUGGUUUAUUCUAAGUGGC
rnacentral:lncRNA from 1 species